GGAAGAAAUAAUGCCCAAUAAUUGCAGGCAACAGGAAGAGGACAUGAUGAUCGAUGCUUCACCGUCCGCCGAUCGCCAAUAAUCAGUCGUACUGCCAAUUCCAUGGGGAGUUUGCAGGAAACGGAAAGAAUCGCGUCGAUAAUGGGGACGGAUUUCGUGUCCGUGCGUCGUCGCUGUCAGGCAAGGCACGCCAAGCCCGCAAGUGAAAAGGGGGAGCGUCCGCCCUUCCCUUCCCUUCCCCGCACCCACCCCAACCAAAGCCCACUUCUUUGCCCCCACUUGGCCUUCUUCUCCUUCCCCGCGAGGCGACCGACGCGGAGGGUAGGAGGAUGUGCGAGGGGCGGCGCCCCGGGCACGCGAGCCGGCCGCCGUGGGCGCUGGCGGCGGAGCUGCGGCGGAGGGAGGCCGCGGCGGACGCGCGGCUGGCGGCGGCGCGGGCGCGGCUGGCCGAGGCGCUGGCGGAGCUGGAGCGGGCGCGGGCGCGCGCCGCCGAGCUGCAGCGCCGCCUGGAGGAGAACUACGGCAAGCGGCGCCGGCUCAAGCGGGUGGUGGCCGCCACCCGCUCCCGGAUCCACGACACCCGCGCGCUCCUCCAGGACCACCAGGACCCGCCGCCGCCGCAGCAGCAGCAGCUCCCCGCCGAAUCCGAUCCCACCUCCUAGAGAGGGAGUCGCGGCAGGGUGAUGUGAAGUCCUGCUCUGAAGACCGACCGGAUCGGCAGGCUGCGAGCCUACACAGCUACUGAUUUCAUUCCCCUUUCUUCAUCUUUUUUUCGCGUCGGAAGCUAGCUAGUAGCCUAGUAGCUAGCCUCUGCAACAUACGGGCGGGGCGAAUGUUCCAUGGGACAUCAAUCAGAAAAAGGCUUGUCAUGUCAUUCGCGUCGCAUACAGUGACUGAAAUGAAUCGGAAGUCAGCACCUGGCAGGGACUCACUCUGUAAUACAGUACACUAGUAGUAAUAAUCAUGCCUUCGGUGACUGCACGCAUACAUGUGCCGAAAUCUUCAGCUCCUGUCGUGUCAAACAUAUAUGCUACCGUCACGAAACCCUGUUAUGUCAUUCACUUGGGUGCGCUGAAAGGAGCUGGCCGAGAUGCCCGCAUUCCUUUUAGAUGAGUUGCCCGCGAUUGCAAGGAAAGAAUAUCAGACGC
rnacentral:rRNA from 1 species